UUCCAACGAAUCCUACCCAAUUUUCAAUCCAUUCUUCCCAAGUUCUCGUCCACUUCCACUCCUUUCUUCUCCACCGGCCUCGACGCAAAGUUGAGAUUCUCAGGGAUGUCUCGAUCUACUGCUCACUGCUCAGGGACAAAUCGAUUCUACAUUUGACAUUUCCACCACCACCGGCCUCCAACAUUCGAGCAUCGAGCCCUAGAUGCAGGUCACGCACUCACGCAGCAGCCGGUAGCACCUUCGAGCCCUAGAACACGAUAGCCAGCAGCAGAGCUUGGAGUCCAUAUUUCCACCGGUGAUUAGACGGUAGAAGAAGAAGCCCUCGAGUUCAAUUUGGUGGUUCCUGUCCUGUCCACUGAUGACUGAUUCUUGAAGCUUGGAUGCUCAAGUCUCGAUUUACUCUGAAAUAUAUAGGUAAACAAAUGUAAAUCAUAUUGGUCUCUCAUUUAACAGUUACUUACAAUCUUUGAAUUAGGUUUAUUGUUUCUGAAAUAGGCUCUAGUUUUUGAAUUAACCAAUGUGUACCAGUUGGAAAUGAAUAUGUUUUGUGCCUCUUCGGUGUUAAUUUGAGGCCAAUUAACCAAUUGCUUGUAGGCUAAUACAAGAAAUUCUGAAGAUGUUCCAGGUAGAGGUCACUGUAGGAAAAAAAUGUAAGAGUAAUGCUUUUUCACAAAAUGUAUCAUGUUUUAACUAAAAAUGAUAUAAAGGAGGCUCGUAAUUCUUGAGAUAUGUAUUAUAUGUCAGAGAGUUGUGUUCAUUUCCAAAUGGAUGGACACAUUUUUUGUUGAACACGGGGUCUGCAUUGUUAAAGCAAAUAGUUAACAAUUGAAGUCACUUUAUGAAUAUGCUUUUUGCAUUUUAGAAGUAAAUCAAUAAAGCCCAAAACUAAAUUAUUGUUUUACCUCUAAUCCUGAUGAUGCGGCGAGCCUUCGGUCGUACUCCGGACCUUCCUCUCUUGCCAACCUCCCUCUUGUUCCAGCCUUUCUUGCAUGUACUGUCUCUCAGGUUCUCAAGCCCUUCACUACCUGGUUAUUACCAGAAUUCCUUGCUUUGCCAAGUUUUCUGUUUGGGCAAUCUAUGGGGGGAUCAGUGGCUCUGAAGGUGCACCUGAAACAAUUUGAGUGUGUUGUUGCAGUUUGAGCAGAAUGUGAAAACUAGAUGUUGCUAGAUGUAUAAGUUGAAUUAAAAUUUUAUUCUUAAUUUUGUUUCAUUUUGAAACUUUUAUUAUUAUUAUUAUUUUUUAUUUAGGUUGUGUUGUAUCACAUUCUAAUCUUCAAGUGUAUGGAUCAAAAAAUUUGUAAUUAAAUUAUCAAUUUUUAUGCAAUUUCAAAA